CUCAAAUUCAUGAUCCUCCUGCGUCAGCUUCCUGAAUGUGGGAGUUACAGGUGUGCAUCUGGUCUCCUGUUUAAUCUAAGAGUGUUUAUUAUCAGAGUAUUUGUUCUUCCCUGUAUGAGAGAGUGACAGUUAUCCUAGACUCUCGACUCAUCUGCCGGUGGAAACUAGAACUGAAGAAUCGGGCCACCAUGUAUACUUACCACAGGCUCUAGGAACGCCACCCCUUAUGUCAGACAGAGCCACUGAGACCACUGUGGAGAGAUGACACUCAAGGACUCUGAUGCUUGCCCUUGGUCCCACCCUACUCAAGAGGGCAGUAGAGACCUCCUAGAAUGGAUCUU